ensembl:lncRNA
GACUAGUUGUCACAUGUGUCCUGCAGCGUGUGUGUGUGUGUGUGUGUCUGUGUGCGCUCCAGAUUGGCUCGUCUCGGCGAGGCCCCUGGAGCACGACUCUGGAACAGAACCUCAUAAAUCCGCCCGUCCCUGAACUUGAUGCCUCGGCCCCUCGGAGCAGGGGGGGGGGGGGGGGGCAGCAGUGACGCAGUUACACCAGGAUUCCCUCCGAGCUCUUUCCUCUGCAAAGCCUGUUUAUUCCUGUCUGUUGACUCCGCUUUGUCGUCACGGUGAAACAAGAGCAACUUUACACCGACUACCGAGGUUCUCUCCUAUACCAUCCCCCCCACCAUCUGCAUGCACAGGUGUGAUGCGUGUGUGUGUGUGCAGGUGUGCAGGUGGGUGUCAUAGAGGACAAAAAGGGAGGACAGAGAUUCAGCGCUCAAAAUAGAGCAGCUGCAUCUGAUUGGGUGUGGACUUAAACCUCACACACACACACACACACACACACACACACACACACACUCACACACACACACACACACACUCACACACACAUUAGAGGGUCCAACUGUUCAGCUCGACCUUGAGGUGUUGGCUCCUCUACAAGAUGCAGAAUUGCAGAAUUGUGAGAAAGACCCUCACACACUGUUAAGUUAAGUUAAGUUAAAAAUAUCACCUCUUGCUUAAAAAGAGAUGUGAAUAUUUGAUAUAUGUGAAGACAUGUAUAUGGGUAUACGUGUAUAUGGGUAUAUGGGUAUAUGGGUAUUUGGGUAUACGGGUACAGGGUAUGCGGGUAUAUGGGUAUAUGGGUAUAUGGGUAUUUGGGUAUACGGGUAUAGGGUAUACGGGUAUAGGGUAUAUGGGUAUACGGGUAUAGGGUAUGCGGGUAUAUGGGUAUAUGGGUAUACGGGUAUACGGGUAUAGGGUAUAUGGGUAUACAGGUAUACGGGUAUAGGGUAUGCCGGUAUGCGGGUAUACGGGUAUACGGGUAUAUGGGUAUAUGGGUAUAUGGGUAUAUGGGUAUACGGUUAUACAGACAAACUGAGUCGCGACUUUUGGGCUCUACUUUGUCCUUAAGCACCGCCCAAUCCUACAAUUCCCACAAUGCAACUAGACGUCAUCUGUCCUUCGAGCCCCCCGGCCCGGAUAAUGCCCACAGCGCUGAGUCUUUGCGCUGCAGGCUUUCUGACCUGAAGACCCUGAUGACAUCACUGUGACAUCAUCAGACGUCGACACGAGAGACGGACCACUGCGAGGUUCGUUUGAGCCUUUUCUCACCCCCACCGAGGCCGAGACAUCACGUCACCCCGUGAUAUCAGGACGCUGUCACACGAGCGGCGUGCGCACUCGGCCUGUGGAUAUUACAGUAUUGUUGCAGACAACUCUCGCACCGCGCAGGAACGUGAGACAUAAACAUCCGGGCUGAUUGCGGCGAUUCGGAGGGACACUUUUAUCAUGCGCGGUGUUCUCUCUCUGCCGGGCUCCGCUGACACAGUUCAGACAGGAUUUUGGUUGCCUAGUAACCGUCCGCCGUCCUGGGAUUCCUGCGAAGUUGAGAGCGAGGAGAGUUGAGGACAGCGAGUGCUUCGUGUCUUUCGUCUGAAUUUCAGCGGCCGUGUUUACAUUCUUCUUUGAUUGUUUCCCCCGUGUUUUCCACCCUCCCAUCUUCUCUCCUCCCCCCUCCUCCCCCCCACCCCCAGUCUCACGCUCCACAUCCACAAGGGGGAUGAAAAAGAUCGGCAGCUUCUCAAUCUCUAGUUUCAAGUCAUCUUCAAUACAGCACGAUGCUCAUUUAGUAAAUGAUGGCAUUCAGAGUCAAACGGACAUAAAGCAGCAGGGGGGGCUUGGGGGCGGGGCUUACUCUGACUGGUCACCGGUCAGGAGGCCUCACAGUGGAGUCACGACGAGGAUCACACGUGUUUAAAAACAGCUCGGCCCGUGACGUGAAGCAGGAUGCGAGUCACACACGCGGGCCUCGUUACAGAAACCAAACCAAAGGGUCAAAGCUUACUGGAUGUGUUUCUGUCCUCCACCAGAUGGCCAGAUGCCCUGCAUGGCAGCAUAUGGACAUCCGGACCCGGACCAAGUCAUGAGACGCAAACACAAACAACCAACACACACACACACACACAUAAACCAGCACAUGCAUAUUGUGUAGUAAUAUUGACUGAGAACAAAACACACAAUCAGCCUGAUAAUCCGUGUGAGGAGUGCAGUCGAUAAUGUGCGCGCGCCGCUUUGCGUGUGCAUCCCUGCAGCCCUCCGUGUGAACCCGUGUGUGUGUCUGUGGGUGCGUGUGAGGUCAUGUGCGAGCAGGGAUCGUUGGCAUGAUGGCUGCACGUUACCUUCACUGGUAACUGUGACGUUAAACUGGCUUUGUCUUUAUUCCAGUUGAAGAAUUGGAUUAAAUAACCCACUUAAAUAAACGUAUCCCGCUGAAUACCUCACAAACAAACAAUUACGUCGACUUUUAAAGAGCUGAUGGUGUAAAAGAAGAAAAAAAAACACGAAUCCCCUUCUGAGCAGACUUCGAUUAGCAAAACUAAUUUAGGGUGCAGCCGAUGCUGAGUACGACAAAACAAAACCAGAAGCACAACGGCGGUUUCCUUCCGUCUCAUUUUCUUUGUUGAGCCACUGAAUCCGAAGAGAAACAAUAUGAGGGGAUCGUGUGCGCGUGUGCAUGCGUGUGCAUGCGUGUGCAGACCUCCACCUUGACCUGUCCUUUAACACGAAGGGGACAAAGCUCCUCGAGCUUAACAAGGUCCCUUCAAUCACGAAUCUGUCAGGCUGUACAGAGGAGGUAAAUAUAUAUAAAGAUAUACAUAUAUAUGAUAUACAUAUAUAUUAUAGAUAUUUUCAGGUUGCAGCCUCACACACACACACUUUCUUCUUCUUUUCUGAGGGGGUGUUAACUUUACAGAAAAAAGUUAAUAGGAGACGUAGCACUUUGCCUCUAAUUGUAAUUUAUUAGGUGCAAUUAAUGUAAUUACAGAGAGAGUGAGCCCCGGUGGCUCGCACUGGUCUGCAGGAGGAGGACGCGGCGCUCAUGCAAAGCUUCAUGCAAAGCUUCAUGCAAAGCUCCUAAAGCUUCCUCUGAGCUCACCUUCGAUCCGAACUCACGCCGCCUGGGAUCCAUUAUGCAUCUUUAGUAAAACCCCAUUGAUAAUGGAUACAGCGAUGGACUGCGAAGCGCCAGGGCCAACCAAUGGGGCGAGAGUUCAUUUUAACUGCAUAUGACACAUAUCUAUAUCUAGGACAUCGGGACCGUAAACAGUACUUAGGUGCACGUACAUGUAAACAAAAGUCCAAAUGUCACAUGUCCAACAGACACAACAACCCAAAUUAGACUGAUUCAGGGAUUUAAAGAGCAAAAUAAAAAUCAUGCCAGACAAUGACGUCAUGCCAGCUGUCAUUUCUCAUCAGCAAAUCCAAAUCCAAUCAUCAUUUUAGCAAACGAAAGAGCAGCGCUGAGACAGAGAGAGUGUGUCUGUGUGUGACUCACUCUCACGACAAGGAGAGCUGGACAGUAGAUUGUUGAGGCUUCUACUUAGUAAUAAACAUGAUAUAAUAGUAUUAUAGAUGUCAAUAUUCUGACAUUCAUCACCACCAAUUAGAACUGUAUUCGGAAGGAUUUGAUUUCCAAUUAAUCCGAACGCAAACCUUAAUUGCAAAACACAUUAUCGGACAGAAUCGUAUCGCUUUAGCGGCCUCGGCAGAGUUUAGGCUCCGCCCCCGUCUGAUCAGGACGGCCCCGUCUCAUUUACAGGCGCCGUGAACACGAUUCCACGUCUCACCCUCCCUUAGUGCGUUAGUAAUCAGUAAACAGUAGUAAAACUGUAACCACGGCAACAGGGGACGCUCGGGUUCCCGCGGGCGAAGUACAGGGGUUAAUAUUAACUCGUGUAAAUACGAUGCACGCGCACACAUCUGGAGGAAGCGCUCAGGUGCUACCGGGUCAAUUCUCUUGUGUCCUGUUGACUGUUUAAAUCCUUUACAUCAAGAAGGAAUUAACACGCUGACUGGUAAUUGCCGUGGAAACAAAGCGUAAACGGUCCACGUACGGUACAGAAAAGCAUCGAUAAAGUAUAAACUAGUUACUUGUUAGUUGGCGCCUGGACGUCGAGGACCAGUCUGGAUUUAACAUCCCAGAGAUUACAAAGGGCUGCUUGAUUUGUUCCACACACGCACACAGCAAGCUUAACCAAAUAUUAGCUGAAACAUAAAUCAUUUCCAUGGAUACGCACGCACACAAAUACAGAUUGUUGCUACAAAUCAGACUGAUUGUUGAGGGGAAAAGGUCACAGAUCAGCUGUGGGGACAGAAAACUGUUUGCACACAGAAACAAACUGAAAUGAGUAAAUAAAUCAUAAAAUAUCAGCUCCUUCCAUCUCUGGAACCCUUCGGGCCUCCGUUCUCUCCCUCCCUGGUCCUCUCUUCUUCCUCUUCUUCUGUGCUCACUGCGUCUUUCAUCACAGCUCAACAGGGUGGGGGGGGGGGGGGGCUCCCCAGAGAAACAAGCCCAGUGAAGCUUCAGUCCAGCAAAUCGAACGUGACAAUACAAUGAUUACUUAAACCGGCCCACACACACACACACACACACACACACACUGUGUCCACCUGUCUCACACCUUGGAGCAGCUUUCUGAGCUCACAGCAUCUUAACGGACACGAGACCACCCGUCACACCAUCUACAAAAUCUUUAUUCACGAGUUCCAUUCCUCAAUGUUACUUUUCCCUCCUAAAAGCACCCGAGUGGACGUCAGUGAACCCGAUGCACGCCACGACUCCAGAUGUUCCCUCGCUGCCCAGAUGCGUCUCAGAAGUAACUCCUUUAACGUCUCUUGUGUUUCUUGUGUCAUCCGAGUGCGUCUCAAGUUGCUGUCUCCAUAGAAACAGAUAAAGUACGUACGGGAUUUGGUUCGUUUUUUGAUGCUCGAGGUUCGACCUCUCAGCGUCAAGACCGGCUUCCUCGAUUUGCAGCAUCACGCGUGUCUAUAAACGCUAUGAGCGUGUCAAUGAAAUGUUCAAACUCCACCAGGACAAGUAAUCGCUGCGUCUCAACGCUUCCUGCGCCGCUUCCCUCACGCCG